CAGUCGCCGCGGUAAUGCGAAGGGUGCAAGCGUUAACCGGAAUUACUGGGCGUAAAGCGUGCGUAGGCGGUGAGUUAAGUCUGCUGUGAAAUCCCCGGGCUCAACCUGGGAAUGGCAGUGGAUACUGGCUCGCUAGAGUGUGUCAGAGGAUGGUGGAAUUCCCGGUGUAGCGGUGAAAUGCGUAGAGAUCGGGAGGAACAUCAGUGGCGAAGGCGGCCAUCUGGGACAACACUGACGCUGAGGCACGAAAGCGUGGGGAGCAAACAGGAUUAGAGACCCCCGUAGUCCCUGUCUCUUAUAC
rnacentral:rRNA from 1 species